UGCCCAUGCCUGUUUUAGGGCCAACAUGCCUGAUUUCUGGCCAUUGACAUAGGGCUAUCCUGAAAAAGGAAGAUGUGUAUACAUUUUUCCAACAUAUCUCUCACAACAUACUGGCAGCAGCAUAGAAAAACACAGUGUUAUUGGAGACAAACUAAGGGCAUGUCACUAAAUGUAAAAUGAUGUCACAAUCAAGUAUCCUCUCAGGACAUCAUUAGUCAGGUAGUUUCAUAGAGAAACUCAGAAUGUUUAGCACUUUUCAUCAGGAUACUUUGAGGAUGACAUCUGAAUAGGGGUUUUUUUUCACAGUAAAUUCACCCUUCUAAAUUUUUAUUUAUUUCAGUCCUGUUCUAAUUUCAUGGAAUAUCCUGGGAACUAUUUGAGAUCCCCUGCAGAAUCAGAUACAGUUGCUCCACUGUAGAACAUGCAGAUGAUUUGGCUGCACAAGAAGAUGAUGAAAAGGAGUGCAUUUGGAUUAACAGAUUGUAGUACAUAUAAGAAAAGCUGAAUGAUGUGCAUUUUGCGGCCAGCAAUGUGCCACCCUGCUCUGCAAGAUCCAUAUGACCGCAAUAAUGUGUAUACCAACUUGCAGAUACCUUUGCUGGCUCCGGGUUUCUGGCAAAUAAAACUAUGUCAGCAGCAAUGUA